GUUGUGUGUGAGCAAAACGCGUGACAUAUCAAACCAAUCGGCACAUUGAUAAUAAUUGUUUUUAUCGUCGAGUUUGAUGACUAAUAUCUCAUUUGAUGAAAACAAUAUUUCGUCGUUAAACAUUUAUUAUAUUGUUUAGAUAUUUGCAGACUUCAAAUCUCAGAUGUGUCUCAGUCUAAGCAGUUAUAUGUGUAGAAAUGGUAUAAAGGAUAAAGUAAAUUAAAAGCUCUUUAUUCUAUAGUAGAACAUUAGUCCGUGUGAAGAUAAAAAAGCAAGGUACCAACAAAUGGAAAUUUUUGGUGAUCUAACAUGUCGGAACAGAACUACACAAGUCAACAUGUAAGGAGAUGAAUAAUUGGGAAAAAAAUUCAAGUACUCUUAGACGGUAGACCGUCGUUCAUGACUUCAUCUAAUGAACAACAAGAAUUAAUGCUGAUUGAUCGGAGGCGAUGAUUUUGCGAAUGUACUUCUGAAAAAACUUCAUUCUAUUUUCAAAAGUUUUUGGAGAAAUAUUCCAAGAAAAUUUCUCCCGAUUAUUUUACACGUAAUAUGAUAGUUCCUACUGAAAAAAAAAAUUACUCAUUAUAUCAGAUGCUUCUCACAUGGUUACAGUUUGAGGUUGGAAUGUACAUAAGCGUAUCAUGUGUCAAGGGUUUGAAGAAACGCUAAUUGACGGAAAAAUUUAGAAGAAUGCAGUUUUUGACAUUAACCAUUUGUACGUCUUGUAAACAACACUAAUUUGAAUCUUCAUUAUGUUAUUGACAAUAAUGCAUAUCAUAAUAACAGAAAAUAUUCAGUGAAUUAUGCAACGUACCGCUACUGUUUUCGUCUUGAAGAUUGUGUCAUUGAGGGCAGAUCAUUUUGGAGAGCUAGUUGACUAUUUCUUAGGCGCCGUAAAUGGGAAUCACGAACUUCAAACUGGAAUGUUAUGGCAUAUGCUCCAUCACUAACUGAGAUUUCACUUACCCUUGAAUGGACUUUUCUCAUUCGCUUACAACUUUAUGAUUGUGGAAAUGAUAGUAGUUUUAUUUUUAUCUGCGUGUUUGUGAAGAAGGCCGCUGUCAAUAUAUCCAGUAAAAAUAUAUAGUUGGAGAUACAUGGAAAUGAAAUGUCAUAACAAUCAAUGAUGGAAAUGUCUAUGACUUUAUAUUAAUAAUUUCUCAUUCUUAAGCAGAUAUACACAGAAAAGACUAAAAUUUGUAUUAAUACUAAACAAUCAUUAUCUAUCGAUAAAAUUGUAAAACUUGGAGAUUAGAAUAAGAACUUCGAGUAAAUUCCUUCAUAAUAUUUCAAUAACUAUAAGAUGUUAUAUACUAAAUACGAUUAACAAUAUUUUUAAUGAAACAAUGACAAAAUUAGACACCAAAAUGUACUAUUGUUAAUAUAUGUAUUCGAGGUUUCGAAUACCUUUGUAUACAUCUUUAAGAACUGAAAUUAUGGUCAGGGUACAAUUAAAGUGUAAUAAUAAUGAAAAUUACUGACAAAAAUUAGUUUAAAAGGCGGUGUUUUCUUCUCAAAAUCAUUAAAUAUACGAAUUUCAAAAUCAAUAUACAAAUUGACGCUUUAUACAAAUAUUGAGCUAAUCGACUCUGGUUGCUAUGGAAAUUGUCAAUAUAUCUAACCUAUAAAAAUUUUAUGUGAUUCAUAAUCUAACCAAUUAAAAUUAUAAACGAUUUCUAUAGAAACCAUAUAUCUAUCAAGCGUGAAUUUGAAUUUUGAUGUUUGAAUUCUAUAAAUGUAAUGAUUUUUUAAAAAAAGUACAAAAUAUAUAUUAUUGUUAUACUUCUAUACAUAUUUUUAAAUUUUACUUUGACCAUAAUUUCUGUACCUGGCAGAAAAUGCAUUAUUGUCAAAAAAGUGUUCACAAUUUGUAGACAAGAACUUGGAAAUAACCAAAAGACUCACACAAAUAACUAAAAAGAACACAAAUAGAAUAAAAUCUAAAUAUACAGUAUGCGCACGAAAACAACAAUAAAUAAAGAUAUUUCUUUUUAAAAUGUACAUGUGAAAAUUUUCUAUAUGUCGUUAAUGGUGGUGUUAUUUAGUACAAAAGUACAUAUUUUUUUAUGAUAAAACUUUAGUUUUAUAAAAGUUGAGGCAGAAAAGAUUAGAAUCGCACCCAAGAGAAACUAGUAUCGUCCGCAAAAAGAUAUAUUUACUGCUGAUGUCUAGAUAGGCAAUAUUGUUGAUAAACAGAACAAGCAAAAUAGGGCCUAUCAGGUACUGAGCCUUCAGGCACUCCACAUUCUAUUGCUCUGUAAGAAUACAUCGUUGUAUCAAUUCUUACGAAGCUGACGAUGAUGAUUACAAUGGUAUUGGAAAUAUUUUAGAAAUAGUACAUGGUGUUCCUAUAGUAACCAAAACCAAUAUUUCAUUAUUUGAAUUUUGAAUCCUAUGAAUUUAAAAAUUUUACAAGAAUUUAUACAACUUAAAGCCUCCACAAAUCUCAAUUGAUUAUUGUAAGUAAAAUUUUAUUAUUGUUAUACAUUUAUACAUAUUCCUUAGCUCGGAAAAUAUAUUAAAGUUAGUCCA